CAAAAGGGACUCCAUGUGUGCCAUGCUAUGGCGUCUGCAGGGCAAUCCAGGGAACAAGGGCGCGACAAUGAUUGUCUGCCGGUUGCCAUACUAUGG